GUGGCAGCCGCCGCGGUAAUACGUAGGGUGCGAGCGUUAAUCGGAAUUACUGGGCGUAAAGCGUGCGCAGGCGGUUUUGUAAGACAGAUGUGAAAUCCCUGGGCUUAACCUGGGAACUGCGUUUGUGACUGCAAGGCUAGAGUACGGCAGAGGGGGGUGGAAUUCCACGUGUAGCAGUGAAAUGCGUAGAUAUGUGGAGGAACACCGAUGGCGAAGGCGACCACCUGGACUGAUACUGACACUGAGGUGCGAAAGCGUGGGGAGCAAACAGGAUUAGAUACCGUGGUAGUCCACGCCGUAA
rnacentral:rRNA from 1 species